rnacentral:rRNA from 1 species
UACGUAGGGUGCGAGCGUUAAUCGGAAUUACUGGGCGUAAAGCGUGCGCAGGCGGUUUUGUAAGUCAGAUGUGAAAUCCCCGGGCUUAACCUGGGAACUGCGGUUGAAACUACAAGGCUAGAGUGUGGCAGAGGGGGGUGGAAUUCCACGUGUAGCAGUGAAAUGCGUAGAGAUGUGGAGGAACACCGAUGGCGAAGGCAGCCCCCUGGGUUAACACUGACGCUCAGACACGAAAGCGUGGGGAGCAAACAGG